rnacentral:lncRNA from 1 species
CGGAAUUUAACGAUAAUAACAACAGGAACCAUCCCGACACAGCCCAAACCGGGGUGUCACAAGUCAUGAGCUACUACAGACUCUGCUAUAGGUCUACAAGUACGGAAUCCGCUACAACAGUCUGAAGAAAACAUAAAUGAUAGAGGAUAAGAGAGACAAGGGGCUGCGGGCAUCAACAGCUACCUCGUAACUCCAAAUCACUACGUAGUCUGGACGGAAUCAGCGCUCAGGUGCGGACUCUGCUAUACCUGAAUCUGCACACACGGUGCAGGGAGUAAUGUGAGUACUCCGACUCAGUGAGUAAUAACUAUAAAUAAUGACUAAAAGUAUGAAAACACGUAAAGGCACAAAACAAUUCCAUAUCAAGCAGUAAAAAUCACUUAAAGCAGUAAGUCAGUGAAGAAAUCAAAUGAUAUUCCUUUUAAAACAAGUAAAACCAGUAAAUUAACAGGUAAAUAACAAGUAGAAAUCCGCCCCUCGGGCACGAUAUCAAUCGCUCAGCAUAGUAUCAGCCCCUCGGGCACGGUAUCAAUCGCUCAGCAUAGUAUCAGCUCCUCGGGCUCACUCUCAGUACAGUAUCAGCCCCUCGGGUUCAGUAUCAAUCACGCAGAACAGUAUCAGCCCCGCGGGCUACCUCACAAUCACUCAUAUCAGCCCCUCGGGCAUAGUAUCAAUCACUCAACAUAAUGGGCACUCGCGCUCACUGUGGGUGUGCAGACUCCGGAGGGGCCCCUUACGGCCCAAGCGCUAUAUCAAGCCACCUCAUGGCAUCAUCACUCGGCACUCGGCCUCACAUCACUCAAGCCACCUCGUGGCAGAUAAAGUAUCUCAGGCCCUCGGCCGCAUAUCACUCAGCAUAUCCUCACAUAUGGCCCUCGGCCUCACUCAGUCCAAAAAUCAUCACAAGCCCCUUGGGCAUUUGUAAAACAGUAGUUCUCAACCCAAAACAUGAUAUAGAAAUAUCAUUUAAGUUUCAAAUUUGAGUAAAAGUGGCUGAGUUUGUAAAACAUUAGAUAUCAACAGGACUGAGUUCAAAUAAUAAGUCAAGCAGUGAGGAAACAGGGAUAAAAAUCCCCGAAGGGUUCAAAUAAUUGGCAUGAAGCCCAAAUAUGGCAAUCAGCCCAAGUCAUGAUGAUAACAAAUGAAUUACAGUCAAAUAUUCGGUAAAAUCAUCAAUCGGGAUGGACCAAGUCACAAUCCUCAGUAGUGAAAGACCCCACGCUCAUCAUCUAGCGCGUAUCUUGCCUCAAUAUAGCACUACGAUGUGCAAAUCCGGGGUUUCAAACCCUCAUGACAUCAUUUACAACCAUUACUCACCACGAACUGGCUAAUUCUCUACCUCGCGACGCCUUUGCCCCUCAAAUUGGCCUCCACACACGUCGAAUCUAACCAAAAUUAGAGCGAAUACAUCACAAUAUGCUAAGGGAACAAUACUCAAUCGAAAACAAUCGAAAAAUAUCAAGAAUCACGAAGUUGGCAAAAACCCGAGCCCCGGGCCCACGUCUCGAAACUCAGAAAUUUUUACGUCAUCGGGUUCCUUAUCUCGCCACGAGUCUAUACAUACAAAAAUCUCUCAAGUCGGACCACAAAUGGCCCCUCAAAUCCCAAAUUUAGAAUUUCAAUUUCAAGCCCUAAUUUCUUACAAUUUGGCUAUAUUUUCAUGAAUUUCGAAGAUGAUUUCACAAUUUAAUCAUAUAUUUAGUUCAUAGGACUAAACUCCAAUCACUUUCCGUCAAAACCCCUUCAAUUCCCGUUCAAAAGCUGUCAAGGUUACUCAAAAAUGGAGGAAAAAUGGGUUGGGUUCGCGGAUGAAAUGUUUUAACAUUCUGCCCAGAUCACUGUAGCUCCUUCUAUGCGAUCGCAUUAGAGCCCAUGCGAUCGCAUAACACAAAUAUUCUGCCCCCAGAUUUAGCCCUAUGCGGUCGCAUAGGCCUCUCUGCGAUCGCAUAACACAAGGUCUUUACCCUAUGCGAUCGCAUGCCUUCCACCGCGAUCGCAUAGCACACCAAACANNNNNNNNNNNNNNNNNNNNNNNNNAUCCGAAAUCGCCCCGAGGCCCCCGGGACCUCAACCAAACGCACCAUCAUAUCUUAAGACAUCAUCCAAACUUGGUCCAAUCAUCAAAAUACCUCGACUAACACCAAAAUCAUUGAAUUACAUCGAAUUCAAGCCUAAGUUUUUUUAAAAUUUCUAAAUCACGCAUUUGAUCAAAAACCCGACCAAAACACCUUCGAAUGAUCUGUGCACACACAUCCAAAAUCACCUAACAAAGCCACUGCAACUCUCGGAAUUCCAUUCCGACUCUCGGAUCAAAAUCUUACCUAUCAACCGGAAAUCUCCAAAAUACUAACUUCGUCAAUUCAAGCCUAAUUCUACUCCGGACCUCUAAAAUCAAUUCCGAUCACACUCCUAAGCCACAUAUCAUCCCCCGAAGCUAACCGAAUCACCGGAAAUCACAUCCGAGCCCUCUAACUCAAUAGUCAACACCCGGUUGACUUUUUCAAAACAAGCCUUCCUUAAAGAUACUAAGUGUCUCAUCUCCUAUCAAAACCAAUCCGAUUUAACUUUAACACACCGAAUACCGACAACGAAACAUGAAGAAGCAUAAAAUGGGGGAAACGGGACGGUAACUCACGUGACGACGGGUCGGGUCGUCGCAUCUAUACUUAGCUAAUAUCACAAUAGGGAAACUAAAAAUAGAAUGACAAGAAACUAACCUGUUGCAAAGUGCCAAAUUAAUAAGAAACCUGAAAUCCAAAUAAAUAGCCCGCGAAAAGAGCUUCGACAGCAAAAAUAAACCAACAAUCCCAGCGAUGAACUUUGAAUAGCAGGAACAUGAAAGAAUCCAAAUAUCGAGAGGGAUGAAAAGAAAUAAACUUUGCCUCGCCUUACAGCCGGCAAAGCGAGAAUUAAAGAGUAACUGGUGUAAUGAAUCUUAGUAAAUAAUAUGUAUGAUAAUCGCAGGGAAUAGCUGUGAUCAAAAUGUAGUCCUCCCCAUAAGUAUCCUACUGAUGUAUUUAUAAGACUAACUCAACACUAGAGUUCAAAUUAUAAAAGGGAAGUAGAGAAAUUAGGAUUCUGCAAAAUAUGGUCUUGAAUUAAAAGGCAAAGAGCCGUUAGAGUGAGUGCCAAUCAAAUAAAGAUUGUGUGCAGCUUUAAACUUAAAAAAAUCACAUGAAAAGAUUCGGACUUUUUAUAACCAAGAUAGGUACAAGAAAGAAGAAGCAAUGAUCUGUAAAGGAAAGAAAAAAUGGAAAAGUAUCAAAGCUUUUAUCUUACUUUGUGAGAGAUCUUGAAUUUGGACAGAUUCUCCAAAAAGAUUCAUACCCCCAAAUUUUCUGCUAAAAAUCGUUCUUUAAAGGAAGAAAUACUUUCUAAUUUGAGUGAUUAGGGAAGAGAUUGUCAAUGACAAUUAGUAAAAAAAUAAAAAGGAUAAUUAAGGCAUGAAAAAAUAAAAAUAAAAAAAAGUAAGGAGAGAAAAGCUAAAUAAAGUAAAUGGAUCAAAUAAUUUAAGGAGGGGAAUAGCGGUGUUCGGUGAUGGGGUUGACGGGAAAUUGGGGAAGAAGAUUUGGGAUAAUUUUUGAGAUUAGGCU